CUACGGGAGGCAGCAGUGGGGAAUAUUGCGCAAUGGGCGAAAGCCUGACCCAGCCACGCCGCGUGUGUGAUGAAGGCCUUCGGGUCGUAAAGCACUGUGGGGAGAGACGAAAAAACUCCGUUCUAAUAGGGCGGAGCCUUGACGGUACCUCCUUAGCAAGCACCGGCUAACUCUGUGCCAGCAGCCGCGGUAAUACAGAGGGUGCAAACGUUGCUCGGAUUUACUGGGCGUAAAGCGCGUGUAGGCGGACUUGCAAGUCGGUUGUGAAAUCCCUGGGCUUAACCUAGGAACUGCAUCCGAAACUGCAUGUCUUGAGUAAUGGAGAGGGUGGCGGAAUUCCCGGUGUAGAGGUGAAAUUCGUAGAUAUCGGGAGGAACAUCAGUGGCGAAGGCGGCCACCUGGACAUUUACUGACGCUGAGACGCGAAAGCGUGGGGAGCAAACAGGAUUAGAUACCCUGGUAGUCCACGCCGUAAACGAUGAGAACUAGGUGCAGCGGAUAUUGACCUCUGCUGUGCCGUAGCUAACGCGUUAAGUUC
rnacentral:rRNA from 1 species